rnacentral:tRNA from 1 species
AGCCUAGUGGUUAAGGCUAUGGAUCGCCAAUCCGGAGCUGGCGGGUUCGAUUCCCGU